rnacentral:rRNA from 1 species
CCUACGGGUGGCAGCAGUCGAGAAUCAUUCACAAUGGGCGCAACCCUGAUGGUGCGACGCCGCGUGGAGGACUGAAGGUCUUCGGAUUGUAAACCCCUGUCAUGUGGGAGCAAAUUAAAAAGAUAGUACCACAAGAGGAAGAGACGGCUAACUCUGUGCCAGCAGCCGCGGUAAUACAGAGGUCUCAAGCGUUGUUCGGAAUCACUGGGCGUAAAGCGUGCGUAGGAUGUUUCGUAAGUCGGGUGUGAAAGGCGCGGGCUCAACCCGCGGAUGGCACAUGAUACUGCGAGACUAGAGUAAUGGAGGGGGAAGCGGAAUUCGUGGUGUAGCAGUGAAAUGCGUAGAUAUCGAGAGGAACACUGGUGGCGAAGGCGGGUUCCUGGACAUUAACUGACGUUGAGGCACGAAGGCCAGGGGAGCGAAAGGGAUUAGAUACCCUGGUAAUC